CCCUUAGAUGUUCUGGGCCGCACGCGCGCUACACUGAUGCAUUCAACAAGCCUAGCCUUGACCGAGAGGUCCGGGUAAUCUUUGAAACUGCAUCGUGAUGGGGCUAGAUUAUUGCAAUUAUUAAUCUUCAACGAGGAAUGCCUAGUAAGCGUGAUUCAUCAAAUCGCGUUGAUUACGUCCCUGCCCUUUGUACACACCGCCCGUCGCUCCUACCGAUUGAACGUGUUGGUGAGGAGCUCGGAUUGGCAGCAGUUGGUGGUUCGCCACCGGCUAUUGCUGAGAAGUCCUCCACCGCCCCAUUUAGAGGAAGGAGAAGUCGUAACA
rnacentral:rRNA from 1 species